rnacentral:rRNA from 1 species
CCCUUAGACGUUCUGGGCCGCACGCGCGCUACACUGAUGCAUUCAACGAGCUUAUAACCUUGGCCGAGAGGCCUGGGCAAUCUUGUUAACGUGCAUCGUGAUAGGGAUAGAUUAUUGAAAUUAUUAAUCUUGAACGAGGAAUUCCUAGUAAACGCAGAUCAUCAAUCUGCAUUGAUUACGUCCCUGCCCUUUGUACACACCGCCCGUCGCACCUACCGAUUGGAUGGUCCGGUGAAGCCUCGGGAUUGUGGUUCUUGCCGCUUUAUUGUGGCGUGACCGCGAGAACUUGUCUAAACCUUAUCAUCUAGAGGAAGGUGAAGUCGUAACA